ensembl:lncRNA
AUGGAGACUGAUGAGGGCUUCGACAUUUUUGGAAAUCGUAUCACACUCCAAAAGUCAACGCUCCAAAAGUCAACUUUCAGCAUCAGCAAAGCGCAGCCAAGUGACGCAGGACGAUACGAGAUCCAUGACAAGAAUGGACAUCUGGCCAUCUCACUGUAUCUGGAGAGAGACCCUGAGUUUGAUCUUAAGAGUUUAGCCACUCCCCUUGGCAUAUCUGCGGGCGUGCUGGCAGGACUGCUGUGCUGUUGCUGGUGCUGUUGCAAGUGCUGUAGUGAUGACGACGGUGACAAGACUGAGUCCGCCGCUGCUUCUCCAGACACCGAGCAACUCGCCCACGUCCAUGAUCCCAGUGAGAUGUCUGGACCCGGCGACCCCUUGCAACCUCCAUCAUCUGUGAGAGACCCCUUGGCCUAUACUUUUCAAAUGUGUCACACUAUAUUUCACAUUCGCCACAGACUAUACCACAGCCUACACAAUCUUUAUGCUCUUCUUCCCAACUUCAUGAAAAUCAAAUUCAAUUAGCUGUGACUCCCUGUGUCAGUGUGUGUACAGUGUGUCAGUGUGUGUACAGUGUGUCAGUGUGUGUACAGUGGGUCAGUGUGUGGGUCAGUGUAUGUGUACAGUGGGUGAGUGUGUGUACAGUGUGUCAGUGUGUGUACAGUGUGUCAGUGUGUGUACAGUGGGUCAGUGUGUGUACAGUGGGUGAGUGUGUGUACAGUGUGUACAGUGGGUCAGUGUGUCAGUGUGUGUGCAAUGUGUACAGUGUGUCAGUGUGCCAGUUUGUGUCAGUGGGUCAGUGUGUGUACAGUGUGUACAGUGUGUCAGUGUGUCAGUUUGUGUCAGUGGGUCAGUGUGUGUAGCAUCCAGGACGCAAUAUUCUUGAUGAUUCACCAGAGGCAAAACGUGCACACAUAAACAACUGCUUCCUGGGUAAAAGAACACUAUUGAAACCCUGUUUGUCUCUCCUUGCUCACAGGCUCCCUCUUCAGGUGACACCAAUGAACUAACGGCCUCCAUGGCGUACCCCCCCAACCCCUGGGAGAACAGUCCACCUCCUUACUUUCCUGACCCAGCGUCAAGGCCACACAGCAUAGUGGUCCCCGUGGAGCCACGCGUCCCUGAGUGGGUUCCCAGCGUCCCUGAGUGUGUUCCCAGCGUCCCUGAGUGUGUUCCCAGCGUCCCUAAGUGUGUUCCCAGCGUCCCUGAGUGUGUUCCCAGUCCGUACAGUUCAGCAGCUCCCACUGCUCCUCCUGAGGCUCCUGAUGGAGGAGGAGGAGGUGAUCGUGGUGCUCCCACCGCCCCUUCUGCACCCCCCGACCCUGGUCUGCGGUACCAGUCGAGAGCCUGGGGUAGUGGCCAGGAUGACUUUCUCUCCAGCUCUCCUCUCUGCAUGGACAGCGCCACCGACAGCUGCACCUUCACCUCAAACAAUCUCAACUUCUAGACCGAUGCGUUCCGUUGACAACUCGGGAUCGAUGGAGCAUUUUCACACGCAGUGCGCUGUGACUUGUGUUGCGUCCUACUGACUGGUACGCUGUGAUUUAGACACGUAGUUUCACGCUCAAAGGCAACGCGCACUACUUCAUUUGCACUGGGCCUGUUCUGCUGCAGUGCUGGAGUGGAUCUGUCAAUACCACAGACUCUCACGCCAUCCAAAGGGCCACCAUCUUUCUUUGACCUGUUACUCUGUGUCUAAUGUCUGUGAGUCUGUUCGUGUCUGCUAGUGUCUUAUGUCCCUAUCUCAUGUAAGUAGGCCAUUUCAUGUAUCCUUUUCUUAGCUUGCUAGAAUUGGUAGCAAUGCAAGUCUGUGUUAUUUUACAUAUUUAUCACACAGGAUUGUAAUGUUCUUACUGCCUGAUCAGGUCCAAUCUCAUUCACAAGCCUUGGUGUUUUUUUGUGUCUUUUUAUGUAUGCGAUUUUAUCUCACUUUGUUGUAACUUUAUAAUGGUGGAUAAUGAAAAGACAUUUUCAGUCCCAAACGUGCUCUAAAUGCCUAUGUAAGGCCUUCAGUAUCCAAAAGUGGCCUUAUCCUAUCUCAGUGCAAUUAAUCAUGUUGUUGUUUAUUUCUGUUUACACUGUAACACCCUGAAACCAUUACUAUGUUUACAAAUGACUAUUUAACACUUUAACACAAAGUAACAGUCUGGGGCGGUCAACUCAUUUUGAAUGAUAUUAUACUGUCUAGGUUUGGUGUACACCCUGAUUAAAAAGAUGACCCCCCCCCCACCACCAUCACCAAAUGUCAUGUCAUUACAUAAUUCACUCUGCAUGAAAUCUUUCCACAUGUAUUUAGAUGUAAGCCAUUAUGUGAAAGUGCCACAAAUUACAGCCAUGUUUAGAUAUUGGUAGGUUUCACGUACAAGCCAUAUAAAUGGAUCCCCUCAUGUAGUCUCAGAUAACAUUAGACUUAAUUGUUGGCUUUUGUCUACAGCCACAACAAGAUGUUUGGAGCCAGGCAUAUUAGCAUUUUGAUUGCCAUGGUCAAGCUAGACCCCCACCUGCCUGGCAUUCACACACCCCUAUACCCCUUUCCUUACAUGCCCCUACCUCACACCUUGAACUAGGACAUACCCACCCCCUCUCCUUAUUCUUUACACCUAACACAGAACUUCCUCCCCAGACCUGAAGGUAAUCGUUUAUGCCAUUUUUUAGUAUGUUAAUUAUGUAGUCCUAUAAGGGAUACAUUUUUUUUUUUAACAAACAAACAAACAAGGCUGACUCACGUCAGUUUUUUUAUUGCACAAGCGACACACACGUGGUUAUGGAGAAGACACAGGACACACACACACACGCAGGCCUCAGGUCACUGUGAAUGUAAUCUCUGCCUUUAACCCAUCCCGGACUGUCCUUCCUCCAGGACCCCAGGAGCAGUGGGCAGCUUUUCAGCGCCCGGGGACCAAGUGAACCGUCUGUCUUGGUCAGGACGGACAGGAGAGUGUUCUGUUCUUUUUGCAUGUUUUUCUGUUGGGGUUCUUAGUGGAGGAAACCCCUUGUGAACACGUGGAGAACAUGCAAACUCCACACAUAAUUAUGUUACCAUUCAUAAGAGGGCGGCAAAGACAGUGGAAGAUAACCGCUAACUUGUAACUUGUUGCUGUGAGUUAGAAAUUCCGAGGCUAAAACUUUGUUGGAAUAAACAGAUUCUUUCUAAGCCGCCUUCCCGAGUU